rnacentral:tRNA from 1 species
UUUUUGGUGUAAGGCACGUUAAAUUUUGAAUUUAAAGGGAUGAUUCAUUUCAUUAAAAUUAAUAA